GUGUCUGAGUCCCUGCCCUGCGUGCCUCAGGUGCGGCCAUUCUGCAGGAAACCUGGCGGGGCUGGGACAGGGCUGCACCUCUUGGCCUCGGUGCGGAUGCAGGCUGUCAGCGGGGAGACGCGCAAGUACAUGGAGGAAUCUCAGAGCUCCGUCUGAAGGAUUUGGCAGUGGUUUAGGUGCCUGCGGGGGAGAGGAGACAAUAAGAGCGUUUGUUGGGCGGCUCAUCCAGCGAAACGUGCGGCUCUGCAGCUGGGUGCCGUGGCUGCUGUGGGAGGCCCGGCUGAAGCUGAGGCAGGAGAACCCCAGCAGGGCCUGCUUGUCUGAGGGAACAAAGUUUGUCAUCCUGAGACACCAGACCUUUGACGAGACUCAGAAGACGAAGAGCGUGUUGGCGAAGUGCUAG
rnacentral:lncRNA from 1 species